CUCCGCAGUGUCCAAGAGAGGGCGAGAGCAACGGCCACAGGCCAACCAAGCUCCUGAUCCCCUCCCUGCACGCCUACGGCCCCCCAGAUCUGAGCCCCAGGGUCGUUGACGGGAUCGAGGACGAUGGCGGGAUGUCGGAGACGCAAACGUUCCAUUUCAACGUGGAGCCGCCCCCGCCGAGCUCCGUCGUGGACUCGCCGACGUCCGGGACUGACCAGGCCAGCCCAGCCUUAGGCACGGAAGCGGAUGAGAUCAAGCAGAACGUCAGGAGACUGAACCAAGAG